rnacentral:rRNA from 1 species
GAUGAGCGCUGGCGGCGUGCCUAAUACAUGCAAGUCGAGCGAACGGACGAGAAGCUUGCUUCUCUGAUGUUAGCGGCGGACGGGUGAGUAACACGUGGAUAACCUACCUAUAAGACUGGGAUAACUUCGGGAAACCGGAGCUAAUACCGGAUGAUAUUUUGAACCGCAUGGUUCAAAAGUGAAAGACGGUCUUGCUGUCACUUAUAGAUGGAUCCGCGCUGCAUUAGCUAGUUGGUAAGGUAACGGCUUACCAAGGCAACGAUGCAUAGCCGACCUGAGAGGGUGAUCGGCCACACUGGAACUGAGACACGGUUCAGACUCCUACGGGAGGCAGCAGUAGGGAAUCUUCCGCAAUGGGCGAAAGCCUGACGGAGCAACGCCGCGUGAGUGAUGAAGGUCUUCGGAUCGUAAAACUCUGUUAUUAGGGAAGAACAUAUGUGUAAGUAACUGUGCACAUCUUGACGGUACCUAAUCAGAAAGCCACGGCUAACUACGUG